UCCUGCCACAAAAUUGUAAACCUCCAUCUCCCUCCCCUAUAGAGACUCCCUGAGUCACUGCAGCUUCUCUCUCCUCCAAGACGCCUUGAAUGCUGGCUGGAUCGACUGCUUUAGCCAAGGGAGGUGCUCUGUAUUUCUGGACCCUCGCACGUCAUUGGUCUGAGGAGAUCUCCAUGCCCUUAAAGAGUAGGUGGCUUUUCUGCUGAGCCAUCGGAGAAACCCAUUUAUACCUCCUCCCUGAGCCAGCUGCCUGUGGCUUGCCAGUUGAUCCUGUCCUUCCACCAGUGCUGUCUGUUUUUCUCCUUGGAACUUAGGUUCUAAAUCCACUAAACCAAGAUGUCAGAGUAAG